UACAGAGACUGCAAGCGUUAUUCGGAUUCACUGGGCGUAAAGGGUGCGCAGGCGGCCAAGUGUGUGAGGCGUGAAAGCCCGGGGCUUAACCCCGGAAUUGCACCUCAAACUACAUGGCUAGAGCAUUGGAGAGGGAAGCGGAGUUCACGGUGUAGCAGUGAAAUGCGUAGAUAUCGUGAGGAACACCAGAGGCGAAGGCGGCUUCCUGGACAAUUGCUGACGCUCAGGCACGAAAGCGUGGGGAGCAAAAGGG
rnacentral:rRNA from 1 species